rnacentral:rRNA from 1 species
CCUACGUGAUGCAGCAGUGAGGAAUAUUGGUCAAUGGGCGCGAGCCUGAACCAGCCAAGUAGCGUGAAGGAUGACUGCCCUACGGGUUGUAAACUUCUUUUAUAAAGGAAUAAAGUGAGGCACGUGUGCCUUUUUGUAUGUACUUUAUGAAUAAGGAUCGGCUAACUCCGUGCCAGCAGCCGCGGUAAUACGGAGGAUCCGAGCGUUAUCCGGAUUUAUUGGGUUUAAAGGGAGCGUAGAUGGGUUGUUAAGUCAGUUGUGAAAGUUUGCGGCUCAACCGUAAAAUUGCAAUUGAUACUGGCAGUCUUGAGUACAGUUGAGGUAGGCGGAAUUCGUGGUGUAGCGGUGAAAUGCUUAGAUAUCACGAAGAACUCCGAUUGCGAAGGCAGCUUACUAAACUGCCACUGACAUUGAUGCUCGAAAGUGUGGGUAUCAAACAGGAUUAGAUACCCCAGUAGUC